GCGAUUGUAUUCCCGGCGUGCUGGUUGCUGGCGCGCUUGGCUCCUUCCCUUGUUCCUCCUAUCGUAAGGAUGGCGAGUCCUCUGGUCCUUCCUGGCCGCCGCCGCCGUCUCCAGCACCCUCUGCGGCUGGAUCCUGGUCUGGGCGCGUGGCCUGGCGGGAGCCACGCUUCCUCUCUUCUCGGCGACUUCAUUCUCGUCGGCGAUGUGAGCCACCGCAAGUCGCCUGACUUCAGCAAACGUCGC
rnacentral:lncRNA from 1 species